GAGAAAGUGGAGCAAUCCAUGAGUAAAGUGGCGUACGGGUGAGUAACACGUGGAUAAUCUGCCCUUUAGUGGGGAAUACCGUUGGGAAACCGACGACAAUACCGCAUAAGCUCGAGAGAGGAAAGCAGCAAUGCGCUGAAGGAGGAGUCCGCGGUCGAUUAGCUAGUUGGUGAGGUAAUGGCUCACCAAGGCUGUGAUCGAUAGCCGGCCUGAGAGGGCACACGGCCACACUGGCACUGAAACACGGGCCAGACUCCUACGGGAGGCAGCAGUGGGGAAUCUUGCACAAUGGGGGAAACCCUGAUGCAGCGACGCCGCGUGGGCGAUGAAGCCCUUCGGGGUGUAAAGCUCUUUCGGCAGGGAAGAUUAUGACGGUACCUGCAGAAGCAGCUGCGGCUAACUACGUGCCAGCAGCCGCGGUAAUACGUAGGCAGCAAGCGUUGUUCGGAGUUACUGGGCGUAAAGGGUGCGUAGGCGGCUCUAUAAGUAUGGUGUGAAAUCUCCCGGCUUAACUGGGAGGGUGCGCUAUAGACUGUGGGGCUAGAGGGUGGGAGAGGAAAGUGGAAUUCCUGGUGUAGCGGUGAAAUGCGUAGAUAUCAGGAGGAACACCGGUGGUGUAAACGGCUUUCUGGACCACUUCUGACGCUGAGGCACGAAAGCGUGGGUAGCAAACAGGAUUAGAUACCCUGGUAGUCCACGCCCUAAACGAUGCAUAUUUGGUGUGGGUCAUUCAGUUGAUCCGUGCCCGGAGCUAACGCGUUAAUAUGCCGCCUGGGGAGUA
rnacentral:rRNA from 1 species